rnacentral:rRNA from 1 species
UACGGGGGGGGCAAGCGUUGUUCGGAAUUACUGGGCGUAAAGGGCUCGUAGGUGGCCAACUAAGUCAACCGUGAAAUCCCUCGGCUUAACCGGGGAACUGCGUUUGAUACUGGAUGGCUUGAGUUUGGGAGAGGGAUGCGGAAUUCCAGGUGUAGCGGUGAAAUGCGUAGAUAUCUGGAGGAACACCGGUGGCGAAGGCGGCAGCCUGGACCAAUACUGACGCUGAGGAGCGAAAGCUAGGGGAGCAAACGGG